AUACGAAGGGUGCAAGCGUUGUUCGGAUUUAUUGGGCGUAAAGCGCGCGCAGGCGGAUGUGCAAGUCAGAUGUGAAAUCUCGGGGCUCAACCCCGAAACUGCGUCUGAAACUGCUCAUCUAGAAUCUUGGAGAGGGAAGGGGAAUUUCACGUGUAGGGGUAAAAUCCGUAGAGAUGUGAAGGAACACCAGAGGCGAAGGCGCCUUCCUGGACAAGUAUUGACGCUGAGGCGCGAAAGCGUGGGUAGCAAACAGGAUUAGAAACCCUAGUAGUCC
rnacentral:rRNA from 1 species